GCCACAUUGCUCUGUCUAGAAUCCACCUGAGGUCCCAAAUCCCUUGGGUUUAGGUAGACCCUAAGGUUUUGGUUGGGGUUUUUUUUCCUCAUAUGUGUCUUUACUUUGUACUCUUAUCCAGGGCAUAGGUACCCAAACUGACCCAAGAUGGCAAAACUCACAGUCCAGCCUAGGUGCAGGGAAGAUGCCAAUUUGAUGACCUUCUGGCAGAAAGGUUGUUUCCCUGACUUUCAAAAAAGGGUCUGUGUUGUGGGCAACCUGACUUCUGUCUUGGGACUUCGUGGUAAACUGAUCACAGAAUGUUAGGGGCCAGAGGGACUUUGAAGGCUCAUCCAGUCCAACCCCCUACCAGAGCAGGAUCACCCAGAGCAGAUCACACAGGAACACAACCAGACUGCUCUUGAAUAUCUCCAGAGAGGGAGACUCCACAAUGCCUCUGGGGAGUGAUUUCCAACUGGCCGUACCAGAAGUUGAAGUAGUGUCCGUGUCUUUGCCUCCACGCCUGUGUUAACCCCUUGUGCCCUCCGAAUCUGGGCACACAGGACAGGCACUGAUGGGCCAAGGGUUUUGAGUACCUGCUGGAGACCACAUCAGUGGCAUGGAGUGAACAGGCUUUUAACAAGGAAGGUGACUGUGGUCCCCUGGCUGUUCACAAAAGUGGAAACCCUAAAUGUGACCAGUUUCUCCUCACAGAAACUGGGGUCAGCCUUUGGGCUCCUAGGCCGUGGGUUUUGAGAAGAGACAUGCUGUCAUCUCUCAAGAACACCCAGGCUUCACCUCAGGAGGAACAUGGAGAUCUCCUUUAAGAACUUCCUCCUCCAGUUCAUCUUCUUGGGGGCGGUGAGGGACCGCACGAGGUCGGAAGGGUGGGUGGCUUCCGCGCCAGGAGCAGCACCUGGGGACAAGGUGCCGCCGCCGCCGCCGUCGGGCACG